rnacentral:rRNA from 1 species
GUUUCGGUGGUCAUGGCGGUCAGGGUACGCCCGGUUACAUUCCGAACCCGGAAGCUAAGCUGGCCAGCGCCGAUGGUACUGCACUCGGGAGGGUGUGGGAGAGUAGGACGCCGCCGAACA